rnacentral:rRNA from 1 species
GACGAACGCUGGCGGCGUGCUUAACACAUGCAAGUCGAACGGAAAGGCCCUGCUUUUGUGGGGUGCUCGAGUGGCGAACGGGUGAGUAACACGUGAGUAACCUGCCCUUGACUUUGGGAUAACUUCAGGAAACUGGGGCUAAUACCGGAUAGGAGCUCCUGCUGCAUGGUGGGGGUUGGAAAGUUUCGGCGGUUGGGGAUGGACUCGCGGCUUAUCAGCUUGUUGGUGGGGUAGUGGUUUACCAAGGCUUUGACGGGUAGCCGGCCCGAGAGGGUGACCGGCCACAUUGGGACUGAGAGACGGCCCAGACUCCUACGGGAGGCAGCAGGGGGGAAUAUUGCACAAUGGGCGGAAGCCUGAUGCAGCAACGCCGCGUGCGGGAUGACGGCCUUCGGGUUGUAAACCGCUUUCGCCUGUGACGAAGCGUGAGUGACGGUAAUGGGUAAAGAAGCACCGGCUAACUACGUG